rnacentral:rRNA from 1 species
GAUGAACGCUGGCGGCGUGCCUAAUACAUACAAGUCGAGCGAACAGACGAGGAGCUUGCUCCUCUGACGUUAGCGGUGGACGGGUGAGUAACACGUGGAUAACCUACCUAUAAGACUGGGAUAACUUCGGGAAACCGGAGCUAAUACCGGAUAACAUGUUGAACCGCAUGGUUCAACAGUGAAAGACGGUCUUGCUGUCACUUAUAGAUGGAUCCGCGCCGCAUUAGCUAGUUGGUAAGGUAACGGCUUACCAAGGCAACGAUGCGUAGCCGACCUGAGAGGGUGAUCGGCCACACUGGAACUGAGACACGGUCCAGACUCCUACGGGAGGCAGCAGUAGGGAAUCUUCCGCAAUGGGCGAAAGCCUGACGGAGCAACGCCGCGUGAGUGAAGAAGGUCUUCGGAUCGUAAAACUCUGUUAUUAGGGAAGAACAAAUGUGUAAGUAACUAUGCACGUCUUGACGGUACCUAAUCAGAAAGCCACGGCUAACUACGUG